rnacentral:rRNA from 1 species
AAGAAGGUGACCCUCAAGUACAUCGCCAAUGACUCCAGCCGGCGCACUAGGUUUAGGAAGCGUCUCGGGGGGCUGAUGAAGAAGGCGGCCCAGCUGGCCACCCUGUGCGACGUCAGGUCCUGCGUGGUGGUGUACGGCGAGCGCGAGGCGGAGCCUAAGGUAUUCCCUUCCCACGCCGAGGCGGUGGAUAUCCUCAACGAAUUUAAAAGCAUGCCAGAGCUAGGGCAUUGCAAGAAGACGAUGGACCAGGAGGCCUUCCUCACCCAGCGCAUCGCCAAGCUCCAGGACCAGGUCUACAAGGCUCGCCGCGAGUGCCAGGACAGCGAGAUAAGGUACCUCCUUUACAACAUCAUGAACGGCAAGCACCCAGGCCUCGUUGGCCUCAGCGUUGAGGAGCUCGUCCGCGUUGGCUGGAAGGUGGACGAGCUCCUCAAGAGCCUCGGCGAACGCAUGGAAAAAAACCAUGUCCAGGCGCCACCGCCAGCUCCAUGCGUCAGCACCGGCAACAUAGACAUGGGGUCUCCGACACAGUAUCUCGCGUCACCGCACCAGCAGGAAUACUGGCUUGACAUGACGAGCUCCGGAGGGGGCAUCGACACCCAGGUCGGUUGCAACACCAGCCACGAUGGUGCCAGCUUCUCCAGCGGUGAUCUAAUGAUGCAGAUUCAGUCCUCCGAUCUGGGGUUCAGUUCGAGUCCUUUCCCUCCCAUGUAA